UCAGUGAUCAGGACAGAACACAGACAACUCACCAUGGAGUUUGUGCUUGGUUGGGUUUUAUUUGUUGCUCUUUUGAAAGGUGUCCAGUCUGAGGUGCAGCUGGUGGGGUCUGGGGGAGACCUAGUGAAGCUUGGGUGGUCCCUGAGACUCUCCUGUGCAGCCUCUGGAUUCACCUUCAGCAGCUACUGCAUGCACUGGGUCCACCAGGCUCCAGGGAAGGGGCCGCAGUGGGUCACAGAUAUUAGCAAUGAUGGAAGUAGCACAAGGUAUGCAGACUCUGUGAAGGGCCGAUUCACCAUCUCCAGAGACAACGGCAAGAACACGCUGUAUCUGCAGAUGAACAGCCUGAGAGCCGAGGACACGGCCGUGUAUUACUGUGCGAGAGACACAGGUUUCUCUAAUAACUUCCACGGU